UACGUAGGGUGCAAGCGUUGUCCGGAAUUAUUGGGCGUAAAGAGCUCGUAGGCGGCUCGUCGCGUCGACCGUGAAAACCCGCGGCUUAACUGCGGGCUUGCGGUUGAUACGGGCUAGCUAGAGUGCGGUAGGGGAGACUGGAAUUCCUGGUGUAGCGGUGAAAUGCGCAGAUAUCAGGAGGAACACCGGUGGCGAAGGCGGGUCUCUGGACCGAUACUGACGCUGAGGAGCGAAAGCGUGGGGAGCGAACAGG
rnacentral:rRNA from 1 species